AAUCCUUCUUAAUCUGUUCAAACAGUUCUAUUUCCUGGUAAUUAAGCAUUCAAAUACAUGGGCAUUUGGGGAUCAUACUUAUCCAAAGCACCACAGUAUGUGCAUCAUAUCUAUGCAGUGACUGAAGAGUGCUAGAACCAAAAGAUCUGGAUCUAGAAGGCUAGGAGAGGGUUUUAGCUCCUCUGGAACUGAAGGUACAGACAGCUGUGAGCAAGUGGCCCUAUACUGAUCACCAGGUCUUACUCCAGGACGUGAAGAUUUCAAGAGGACUGACCAAACAUCCGUGUCAAGAUCUCAUUUUAUUCACAGCAUCAUCAAAAAUAAAAUUUGGAAAUCUGGGGCAGUCGAAUUGAUUCACUGGGCAAAAGUGCCUGCUAUCAAGUCGGCUAACUUGAGAUUGAGUCUAGGAACCCAAAUGUAGGAGAAAACUGAUUCUCUCAUAAGUAGUUCUCUGCCCUCCUCCCCAUGCCUUGACAUGCAGGCCUUGUGAAUGCAUGAACAUCUACAUAAUCACAUGCAUAUAUAUGCACAAACAUACAAAAUAUGUAAAUGUUAUUUAAGAAAUAGAUACUUGGGAAUCCAGAGAAAUAUGUCGAACUUUGAAUCAUGGAAAUGGACACUUGUGGAAGGAGAGGUAAGAAAAAUACCAGCUAUGGUUUGAAUACAAAUGGGGGAAUUUAUUGUUAUAAGCGUCUAUGUAGUGUUCUUAAGAUUCUCUGGCAAAGGUUGAAGGAACACGCUAAUGGCAUUUACCUUCUUUAUCUUCUGCCACGGCAGGGCACAGAGUUUGUGUCAUCCCCUCCUGCCAGGUGCAGACCCAAUAAGAAGUCAGUGUAUGAGAAGCAAACCCUCACUUUGGUCUUGCAUAUCCUAGCUAUUCCUGAGACCCAUAGAUUUCCAUUUUUUUUUAAAUUACCCCAAUGGCUUAGUUUGCAGUCUGUUGCUAUUAUAAAAUACAGACCAAGAAUGGUAUUUCUGGAUCUUUAGGUAGGUCUAUUUCCAAUUUUCUAAGGAACCUCCAAAUUGAUUUCCAGAAUGGUUGUACCAGUUUGCAAUCCCACCAACAAUGGAAGAGUGUUCCUCUUUCUCCACAUCCUCGCCAACAUGUGUGUCACCUGAGGUUUUGAUCUUAGCCAUUCUGACUGAUGUCAGAUGGAAUCUCAGAGUCUUUUUGAUUUGUAUUUCUCUGAUCACUAAGGACUUUGAACAUUUCUUUAGGUGCUUCUCAGCCAUUCAAGAUUCCUCUAUUGUGAAUUCUUGGUUUAGUUCUAUACUCCAUUUUUUGAUUGGGUUGUUUGGUUUUUUGGUGGUAAGCCUAUUGAGUUCUUUAUAUAUUUUGGAUAUUAGCCCUCUAUCAGAUAUGGGGUUAGUGAAGUUUUUCUUUUUUCAAAUCUGUAGGCUGCUGAUUGGUCUUACUGGCUAUGUCCUUUGCCUUACAGAAGCUUUCCAGUUUCAUGAGGUCCCAUUUAUUAAUUCUUGAUCUUAAAUCAUGAGCCAUUGGAGUUCUGUUUAGGAAAUUUCCCCAUGUGUCAAUGAGUUCAAGGCUCUUUCCCACUUCCUCUUCUAUUAGAUUCAGUGUAUCUGGUUUUAUGUUGAGGUCCUUGAUCCACUUGGACUUGAGCUUUGUGCAUGGUGACAAAUAUGGGUUUAUUUUCAUUUUUCUACAUACAGACAUUCAGUUAGACCAGCACCAUUUAUUGAAGAUGCUUUCUUUUUUCCAUUGUAUAUUUUUAGCUUCUUUGUCAAAGAUCAAGUGUGCAUAAGUGUGUGGUUUUAUUUCUGGAUCUUCAAUCCUAUUCCAUUGAUCAACCUGUCCGUCUCUGUACCAGUACCAUGCAGUUUUUAUCACUAUUGCUCUGUAGUAGAGCUUGAGGUCAGGGAUGGCGAUUCUUCCAGCUGUUCUUUUAUUGUUAAGAAUUGUUUUUUCCCUAUUCUGGGUCUUUUGCCUUUCCAGAUGAAUUUGAGAAUUGCUCUUUCCAUGUCUUUGAAGAAUUGUGUUGGGAUUUUGAUGGGGAUUGCAUUGAAUCUGUUAGAUUGCCUUUGGUAGCAUGGCCAUUUUUACUAUGUUAAUUCUGUCAAUCCAUGAGCAUGGGAGACCUCUCCCCUUUCUGAGAUCUUCAAUUUCUUUCUUGAGAGAUUUUAAGUUUUUAUCAUAAAGGUCUUUCACUUCUUUGGUUAGAGUCACCCCAAGGUAUUUUAUAUUAUCUGUGGCUAUUGUGAAGGGAAUUGUUUCCCUAAUUUCUUCUCAGCCUGUUUAUCAUUUGUAUAAAGAAGGCUACAGAUUUAUUUGAGUAAAUUUUAUAUCCAGCCACUUUGCUGAAGUUGUUUAUCAGCUGGAGAAGUUCUCUGGUAGAAUUUUUGGGAUCACUUAUGUAUACUAUCAUAUCAUCUGCAAAUAGUGAUACCUUUAAUUCUUCUUUGCUAAUUGGUAUCCCUUUGAUCUCUUUUUGUUGUCUCAUUGUUCUAGCUAGCACUUUGAUAUACCCCAAAGAUGCCCCAUCAUGCCACAGGGGCACAUGUUCCAUUAUGUUCAUAGUGGCCUUAUUUGUGAUAGCUAGAAGCUGGAAGCAACCCAGAUAUCCCACGACAGAAGAAUGGAUACAGAAAAUGUGGUUCAUUUACACAAUGGAGUACUACUCAACUAUUAAGAAUGAGGACAUCCUGAGUUUUGCAGGCAAAUGGAUGGAACUACAAAAUGUCAUCCUGAGUGAGAAAUACAGGUAUGUAAAUGGAGAAGAGCUUGAGGAAAAGAAGGUCCAGCGACAGGCCCAACGUGGGUUCCAGCUCAAGGGGAGUCCCCAAGAUCUGACACCAUUACUGAAGCUAUGCGGUGUUCACAAACAGGAACCUAUUAUGACUGCCCUCCGAAAGACACAACAAGCAGCUGAAAGAGUCAGAUGCAGAUAUGUACAUCCAACCAAUGAACAGAAGCUGCUGACCUCUCUGUUGAAUUAGGGAAAAGCUGGAGAAAGCUUAGGAGGAGGGCAACCCAGCAGUCUCAGUUAACCUGGAUGCCUGAGAUCUCUCAGACACUGGAUCACCAACCAGGCAGCAUACACCAGCUGAUAUGAAGCCCCCAACACAUAUACAGCAGAGAACUCCCAGGUCUGGGUUCAGUCAGAGAAGAUACACCUAAUUCUCAAGAGACUGGAGGUCCCCAGGAACUUUAGAGGCUUCCAUGGUAUCUGUGUUUUGGAUCAGAUUCCUGUAUGCCUCAUGGUAUGAACUCCCUCAGUUCUCUGUCCAAGGUCAGCUCUUCCCACCUCAUCUCCGGCUUGUACUUCGCACUGACUAGUCCAUGAGGGGAAGCAAGGCCAUUCAUUGCCUUUGCAGGGUUAUCUUCCCAGGCGAGCAAGUCAGGAAUGAUGUAUGUUGUUCUGAGUUCCCUCUGAGGCCAUUUCACAUCCUGAGGAGUUCCCUUGACACCUCUCUCCUGUUCAGCUUGGGGACAGGGGAACAUGUGCCUUUUAUUUUUGGCAUCUUUAUGAUCAAGGCCUCAUAAAGUUUCUAAACUAAAAGGGCAAGGUUGCAGUGAGCAAGUGAAAAGUUAGAAACCUCCCUGCAGUUAGAUGCUUGAGGAACAGCAGGACAGAAAGGUCAAAUACUAGCAAACAAAUGCUCUCAAAAUGAACAAAUACCCCAAAUGAAUAAGGAUCCAGCAACAAGCUUGGGGUGAACAUAAAUGGACCAUUGAUCAAACCAAAGAGAAGUCUGGACUGCAGAAACAACUAACCAUCAUCCAACCACACAGGCAACUCAAAUAGUUGAGGGCAAAGAGGCCCGUGUUGGUACCUGGUAUAGCUCCAGGUGACUUCUCCACUUAAAAAUGGAUUACCCUCUUGCUACUGGUCAAGCACUAAAACUGUCCUAACGAGUAUAGCUAUUACAACCCUUUGGUAAGGGACAGAUGUGAGCAACUAUUGCCCCGCGAACAUGGACUUCAGUAUACAUGGUCUCUGCAUUGAUACAUCAAAACAUAUCAAGUAUACAUCUAUAAAUAUUUUGGAGAUUCAUUUAUAUCUAAACACAAAAUACAAAAAUGCCUAAAAAAUUGGAAUGCUCAAUAAAAAUGUGCUUUAAUUUAUUCAGCUGUCUUUAUCAAUGUACUCCCUGGAUAUCCCUACAGUCUCAUUAUUAUAAGGAUAUUAUCUUCAAAUUUCUUUUUAAAUAAUUUUUGUGAUUUCUUAUUUUUACUUAAAAAGAUGUUUUUCAUACAAUAUAUUCUGAUUUUGGUUUCUUAUUUCCCCAACUACUCCCUCCCUCCCUCCCUACCCCAAUGCAUGCCCUUUCUUGCUCUUGCUCAGUAGAAAACAAAGAAACGUCUAAAAACAAAAGAAAAAAAGAAAAAACCUAAUAAAAUAGGCUGAGAUAAAAACAAACGUAAAAAGGACAAAAUCAAGCUUCCUGACAAUAAUAGUGGAAACCACUGUUUCAAUGGGGCAUGGAACUCAGAUUGCAGAAUUUCUUUUUUACAGUUAUCUUAUUUGGACAUGUAUGUUGCGGGUUCAUGCAUGUUGUGAUGCAUAAUGCGAGGUCAGAGGACACCUUGUUAGAGAGGUUUCUCUUGUUUUACCAUAUUGGUCCUGGGGAUUGAACUUGCUUUACUUUUCUAGGCUGCCUUGCUAGAAUCCGUGGAGAGGAAGCCUGAUGCUACCAUUGGCUAAGGCCUCAUCCGUAUUUACUUUAUCAUUUUGGUGCACAUUGGCCUGACUUCUGGCAGUAGAGAAUUUGUUACUCAAAAUUUUUCUCUUACUUCUUAAGACCUGUUUGGUUUUUUGUUGUUGUUGUUUUUGUUUGUUUUAUUAUUUUUUUUUACAAACCAGCCCAAAGAACACACUUAGAACAGCAUAUCAGCAUAUUAGUUAUUCUUCCUCUCUGGGACCAGCCAUCCAAAAAAAAAAUUAAGAAAAGAAGGGCAAUUUUGCCUUACAAUUUAGAAGAAUGUAGUCCAUCAAUGAGGGAAAACCAUGGUGGUAGGGAGAACUUGGACCAUGGGGCCAAGUGUCCUCUUCUUUUAUUCAGUCCUUGCCCCAGCCCAUGGGGUUACGCUCACACUCCGGGUGUUUCUUCUUUCCUCAGUACCUCACCUGAAACAAUCUCAUAAAUACUUCAGUUUAAAAUUUUUAUUAUAGAUGUACCACAUUUUCUGUAUCCAUUCCUCUGUUGAAGGGCAUCUGGGUUCUUUCCAGCUUCUGGCUAUUAUAAAUAAGGCUGCGAUGAACAUAGUGGAGCACGUGUCUUUUUUAUAUGUUGGGGCAUCUUUUGGGUAUAUGCCCAAGAGAGGGAUAGCUGGAUCCUCAAGUAGUACAAUUGGAUCUACACAAUGGAAUACUACUCAGCUAUCAAAAACAAUGACUUUAUGAAAUUCGUAGGCAAAUGGAGGGAACUGGAAAAUAUCAUACUGACUGAGGUAACCCAAUCACAGACAAACACACAUGGUGUGCACUCAUUGAUAAGUGGAUAUUAGCCCAAAUGCUCGAAUUACUUUAAAUGCACAGAACACAGGAAACUCAAGACGGAUGACCAAAAUGUGGAUGCUUCACUCCUUCUUUAAAAGGGGAACAAGAAUACCCUUGGCAGGGAAUAGAAAGGCAAAGAUUAAAACAGAGACAGAAGGAACACCCAUUCAGAGCCUGCCCCACAUGUGGCCCAUACAUAUACAGCCACCCAAUUAGACAAGAUGGAUGAAGCAAAGAAGUGCAGACCGACAGGAGCUGGAUGUAGAUCUCUCCUGAGAGA